rnacentral:rRNA from 1 species
GAUGAACGCUAGCGGGAGGCCUAACACAUGCAAGCCGAGCGGUAUUGUUUCUUCAGAAAUGAGAGAGCGGCGUACGGGUGCGUAACACGUGUGCAACCUGCCUUUAUCUGGGGGAUAGCCUUUCGAAAGGAAGAUUAAUACUCCAUAAUAUAUUGAACGGCAUCGUUUAAUAUUGAAAGCUCCGGCGGAUAGAGAUGGGCACGCGCAAGAUUAGCUAGUUGGGGAGGUAACGGCUCACCAAGGCGAUGAUCUUUAGGGGGCCUGAGAGGGUGAUCCCCCACACUGGUACUGAGACACGGACCAGACUCCUACGGGAGGCAGCAGUGAGGAAUAUUGGUCAAUGGGUGCAAGCCUGAACCAGCCAUCCCGCGUGAAGGACGACUGCCCUAUGGGUUGUAAACUUCUUUUGUAUAGGGAUAAACCUACCCUCGUGAGGGUAGCUGAAGAUACUAUACGAAUAAGCACCGGCUAACUCCGUGCCAGCAGCCGCGGUAACAC